UACGUAGGUGGCAAGCGUUGUCCGGAUUUAUUGGGUUUAAAGGGUGCGUAGGCGGUCGUAUAAGUCAGUGCUGAAAUAUCCCGGCUUAACCGGGAGGUGGCAUUGAUACUGCAUGACUUGAGUAAAGUUGAGGUUGGCGGAAUUGACGGUGUAGCGGUGAAAUGCUUAGAUAUCGUCAAGAACACCUAUUGCGAAGGCAGCUAACUAGCUUUAACUGGCGCUGAGGCACGAAAGUGUGGGGAUCAAACAGG
rnacentral:rRNA from 1 species